AAAGAGAAGUUACAAGACACUCGCACAAACUAUCUUAUGACGCUACAAGGGUCUGUAGCUCAGUUGGUUAGAGCGCACCCCUGAUAAGGGUGAGGUCAGAGGUUCAAGUCCUCUCAGACCCACCAAAGAAGAGAAGCUUAUCGGGGCCAUAGCUCAGCUGGGAGAGCGCCUGUUUUGCACGCAGGAGGUCAGGAGUUCGAUCCUCCUUGGCUCCACCAAUUAAGUAGAAAAGAGCAGACGUAGCGGAAUGUUGAAAGAAGAAACAAGUAUCUGAAGAAGAGAACAAAUAAUGAAAAUUGUGUUAUCGGCGUUGGAAGUCGAUGAGAUAGUGUUCAUUGGUUUGUUAUCUUAAGGAUAACGAUCUUUAAAAACUGGGAAAUUCAAUUUAAAUCAACUAAAUUGAGAAAGCUGAGAAACAAACAAGCGUUGUUACUUAUGUUUUCAAGAGAAACAGCGAUCGCAAAAGAUCUUGAUAAGACGAUGAUGAUCAUCGAAUAGAUGGUUAUAGUUGUUAAAGAGAUAAUUUGAGGUUGUAU
rnacentral:tRNA from 1 species